AGUAUCGCGUGAGGAACCUGCCUCAAAGAGGGGGACAACAGUUGGAAACGACUGCUAAUACCGCAUAAGCCCACAGCUCGGCAUCGAGCAGAGGGAAAAGGAGCAAUCCGCUUUGAGAUGGCCUCGCGUCCGAUUAGCUAGUUGGUGAGGUAACGGCCCACCAAGGCGACGAUCGGUAGCCGGACUGAGAGGUUGAACGGCCACAUUGGGACUGAGACACGGCCCAG
rnacentral:rRNA from 1 species